UAAAUUCUAACUUCUUUAGUCUAUUUUAUCCUCAAACGUUGCGUUAAUUGUGGAAAGAGCAAGGUAUUAACAUAUCAAAGCGUGCAAAAAAGAUGAUCUUCGCUGUUGUUGUUUUGGGUCUUCUCUCGCAAACGAUUGCUUUUCCUCAAAAUGAUUUUCAACAGGAUAGUGUUAACUUUCAAGCAGCUAC
rnacentral:lncRNA from 1 species